UGGCGAACGGGUGAGUAACGCGUGAGGAACCUGCCUCAAAGAGGGGGACAACAGUUGGAAACGACUGCUAAUACCGCAUAAGCCCACGGGUCGGCAUCGACCUGAGGGAAAAGGAGCAAUCCGCUUUGAGAUUGCCUCGCGUCCGAUUAGCUAGUUGGUGAGGUAACGGCCCACCAAGGCGACGAUCGGUAGCCGGAUUGAGAGGUUGAACGGCCACAUUGGGACUGAGACACGGCCCAG
rnacentral:rRNA from 1 species